GUACGAUGAUGAUAAACUUAGGACACCUUUGACGGUUACGACCAAUGAAACGAAAUCGUAUACUGAGUAUU